UACGUAGGGUGCGAGCGUUGUCCGGAAUUACUGGGCGUAAAGGGCUCGUAGGCGGCCAACUAAGUCAGACGUGAAAUCCCCAGGCUCAACCUGGGAACUGCGUCUGAUACUGGAUGGCUUGAAUCCGGGAGAGGGAUGCAGAAUUCCAGGUGUAGCGGUGAAAUGCGUAGAUAUCAGGAGGAACACCGGUGGCGAAGGCGGUUCUCUGGGCCUUACCUGACGCUGAGGAGCGAAAGCGUGGGGAGCAAACAGG
rnacentral:rRNA from 1 species